rnacentral:tRNA from 1 species
GGAGAUGUAGCUCAGUGGUAGAGCGCUCACCUAGCAUGUGUGAGGCCCUGAGUCAUCCCCA